UACGGAGGAUGCGAGCGUUAUCCGGAUUUAUUGGGUUUAAAGGGUGCGCAGGCGGCCUGUUAAGUCAGCGGUAAAAGCCCGGGGCUCAACCCCGGCGAGCCGUUGAAACUGGCGGGCUGGAGUUGGAGAGAAGUACGCGGAAUGCGCGGUGUAGCGGUGAAAUGCUUAGAUAUCGCGCAGAACCCCGAUUGCGAAGGCAGCGUACCGGCUCCACACUGACGCUGAGGCACGAAAGCGUGGGUAUCGAACAG
rnacentral:rRNA from 1 species